AGUGAACGCUGGCGGUAGGCCUAACACAUGCAAGUCGAGCGGCAGCACAGGAGAGCUUGCUCUCUGGGUGGCGAGUGGCGGACGGGUGAGGAAUACAUCGGAAUCUACUUUUUCGUGGGGGAUAACGUAGGGAAACUUACGCUAAUACCGCAUACGACCUACGGGUGAAAGCAGGGGACCUUCGGGCCUUGCGCGAUUGAAUGAGCCGAUGUCGGAUUAGCUAGUUGGCGGGGUAAAGGCCCACCAUGGCGACGAUCCGUAGCUGGUCUGAGAGGAUGAUCAGCCACACUGGAACUGAGACACGGUCCAGACUCCUACGGGAGGCAGCAGUGGGGAAUAUUGGACAAUGGGCGCAAGCCUGAUCCAGCCAUACCGCGUGGGUGAAGAAGGCCUUCGGGUUGUAAAGCCCUUUUGUUGGGAAAGAAAUCCAGCCGGCUAAUACCUGGUUGGGAUGACGGUACCCAAAGAAUAAGCACCGGCUAACUUCGUGCCAGCCGCCGCAGUAA
rnacentral:rRNA from 1 species